GUGAAUAAACUGUUCCCAAGGUUUCAUUCUCAACACAAAGGAAACUCUCACUGACUUGACAUGUUCUGGUUUUGAAUUCAGGCUGCAAGGGGUCAUUGCUCGAAAAUGAGUCUCUCUGGGGAGAGAGAGGAGGGCAGCCAAUUCUCUAAAAUGAGUCUCUCUGGGGAGAGAGAGGAGGGCAGCCAAUUCUCUAAAAUGAGUCUCUCUGCGGAACAUGACACCAAAGCUAAGAGG